UAAAACCUCAGCUCUGUAAUGGGAUGGAAUCCGAAGCCCCAGUGAGGGAUAAUACAGGCUCUCCCAUCCAACUCCUAUUCCGACACGUCUUCGUCGUGCAGAGUGGUAACAUGUGUCACCACACUCUCUAAGCGAAGCCGG
rfam:Anopheles gambiae str. PEST chromosome 2R, whole genome shotgun sequence.